rnacentral:rRNA from 1 species
CGAAAGCCAGACGCAGCGACGCCGCGUGGGCGAAGAAGGCCUUCGGGUUGUAAAGCCCUUUUCCAGGGGAAGAGGAAGGACGGUACCCUGGGAAUAAGUCCCGGCUAACUAUGUGCCAGCAGCCGCGGUAAGACAUAGGGGACGAGCGUUAUCCGGAUUUACUGGGCGUAAAGAGCGUUGAGGCGGUUCCGUAAGUUGGAUGUGAAAGCCCCGGGCUUAACUCGGGGAGGUCGUUCAAUACUGCGGGGCUAGAGGGCAGCAGAGGGAGGUGGAAUUCCCGGUGUAGUGGUGAAAUGCGUAGAUAUCGGGAGGAACACCCGUGGCGAAGGCGGCCUCCUAGGCUGACCCUGACGCUGAAUGCGAAAGCUAGGGGAGCG